UACGUAGGGUGCGAGCGUUAAUCGGAAUUACUGGGCGUAAAGCGUGCGCAGGCGGUUCGUUAUGUCCGUUGUGAAAGCCCCGGGCUCAACCUGGGAAUGGCAAUGGAAACUGGCGGGCUAGAGUGUGGCAGAGGGGGGUGGAAUUCCGCGUGUAGCAGUGAAAUGCGUAGAGAUGCGGAGGAACACCGAUGGCGAAGGCAGCCCCCUGGGCUGACACCUGACGCUCAGGCACGAA
rnacentral:rRNA from 1 species